rnacentral:rRNA from 1 species
AUGAACGCUAGCUACAGGCUUAACACAUGCAAGUCGAGGGGAAACGGGCUUUAAGCUUGCUUAAAGUUGUCGUCGACCGGCGAAUGGGUGAGUAACGCGUAUCGAAUCUGCCCGCAAGUGAAGGAUAGCCCUGCGAAAGUAGGAUUAAUACUUCAUGUGCUUCUCAGAAGACAUCUAAAGAGGAGUAAAGAUUCAUCGCUUGCGGAUGACGAUGCGUCUGAUUAGGCAGUUGGCGGGGCAAAGGCCCACCAAACCGACGAUCAGUAGGGGUUCUGAGAGGAAGGUCCCCCACAUUGGAACUGAGACACGGUCCAAACUCCUACGGGAGGCAGCAGUGAGGAAUAUUGGUCAAUGGACGAGAGUCUGAACCAGCCAAGUAGCGUGCAGGACGACGGCCCUAUGGGUUGUAAACUGCUUUUGAGAGGGAGUAAAGUGCGUGACGUGUUCGCGCAUUGCAAGUACCUCUGGAAUAAGGACCGGCUAAUUCCGUGC